rnacentral:rRNA from 1 species
CGUUAAAGGCAAUAGUACACAACUAGAAGAAGUAGCAAAAGUAUAGUUUGUCAAAAAGGUGACGUUUGUAAGUAGAUAAAGAUGGAGACGAUGCACUACGAUGUAAUGAGUGCGAUUCAAAAAUCAAUUUGAGGUAGCGAUGUUAAUGCUGCAUUACAUUACCUUGCACGUUUAAUCGAAGCUGGAGAUUUACCAACAAUCGUUCGACGUUUAUUAGUAAUUAGUUUUGAAGAUGCGGUUUGGCGUCACCAGCAGCUGGCCAACGUACAUUAGCAGCAAUAGAGUCAGCUGAGCGUUAAGUAGUUCCACCUGGGGAGUACGCCCGCAAGGGUGAAACUCAAAGGAAUUUGACGGGGGCCCGCACAAGCGGAGGAGCAUGUGGUUUAAUUCGAUGAUACGCGAGGAACCUUACCCGGGCUUGAAAGUUACUGAAUUAUCUAGAGAUAGAUAAGUCCGCAAGGACAGGAAACUAGGUGCUGCAUGGCUGUCGUCAGCUCGUGCCGUGAGGUGUUGGGUAAGUCCCGCAACGAGCGCA